AGGCAGGAGCGGGGAAGAAAAUACCCAAACCCAAACUCCUCUGAUCUCUCUGCACCCCUAUAAUUUUUUGGCAUUGUCACUAAUCGGCCCAGCAGCCUGAAUCCACAUGUCCCAGUGUCCAGGCUCUGUAAAGUGCAGCUGGUCUCGGGUCCUGUCUCAGGUCAAAUUCCCACAAGAAGACAGAGUGUUAUGAGAGAUGGAUGAGAGAAAGCAGGGUGAGACGCUCCCUGUCUGCUUGCAUUUUUGAAGAGACACUCAUGGAGGGAAGACAAUGUGAAGAGACCUUACAAGAAGAAGAUGGCCAUCUACAAGUUCAGGAGAGACCUGGAACAGAUACUUCCCUUGCAGCACUUAGAACCUACCUGUCAUGCCUGGAUUUCAGAUUUCUAGCCUUCAGAUCUGUGAGACAAUAUGUUUCUGUGGAUUAAGCCACUCAGCCUGUGCUGCGUUGUUACUUUAGCACUAGAAAACUAAUACAGAGUUUGUUUUUCACUGAG